CGAGCGAACAGACGAGGAGCUUGCUCCUCUGACGUUAGCGGCGGACGGGUGAGUAACACGUGGAUAACCUACCUAUAAGACUGGGAUAACUUCGGGAAACCGGAGCUAAUACCGGAUAAUAUAUUGAACCGCAUGGUUCAAUAGUGAAAGACGGUUUUGCUGUCACUUAUAGAUGGAUCCGCGCCGCAUUAGCUAGUUGGUAAGGUAACGGCUUACCAAGGCAACGAUGCGUAGCCGACCUGAGAGGGUGAUCGGCCACACUGGAACUGAGACACGGUCCAGACUCCUACGGGAGGCAGCAGUAGGGAAUCUUCCGCAAUGGGCGAAAGCCUGACGGAGCAACGCCGCGUGAGUGAUGAAGGUCUUCGGAUCGUAAAACUCUGUUAUUAGGGAAGAACAAAUGUGUAAGUAACUAUGCACGUCUUGACGGUACCUAAUCAGAAAGCCACGGCUAACUACGUGCCAGCAGCCGCGGUAAUACGUAGGUGGCAAGCGUUAUCCGGAAUUAUUGGGCGUAAAGCGCGCGUAGGCGGUUUUUUAAGUCUGAUGUGAAAGCCCACGGCUCAACCGUGGAGGGUCAUUGGAAACUGGAAAACUUGAGUGCAGAAGAGGAAAGUGGAAUUCCAUGUGUAGCGGUGAAAUGCGCAGAGAUAUGGAGGAACACCAGUGGCGAAGGCGACUUUCUGGUCUGUAACUGACGCUGAUGUGCGAAAGCGUGGGGAUCAAAC
rnacentral:rRNA from 1 species